rnacentral:lncRNA from 1 species
CUCUUGGUGCUGUGGGCCCUGAAAGUUGUCGAGUGCGCCUGUCCCUGUGGUGGGAGCAGUGGCGCCGAGCGUGCCCACGGGCCGCCGCUUGGGUUUCUCUCGUGUUCAGGGUAGUAUGGACGUGGACAAUGGCAGUGGCCCCUGGCUGGCCCAAGAGCCGGGUCCAGAUACGCGCGCCUGAUUCCAGGCGUCAUAACCAACCCGGGGCCGCGAGGCUGGGAUCAGGCACCCCGGAGCCGCUUGCCCGUGGCCGGGCUGCUCUCCCCCUCUAAGCCUAAGCACCGCCAGUCGCGGCGCUGCGCUUUCCGCCGACCUCCCAGAGCGUCCCGCCGUCGCCGGCGGCCAGCCUCGCGCAGGACCAGUGUGGCGCCGCCCUGCUGUUGCUGGGGGGCGCCCGAGGCCUCCAUUCCUUGCCCAGGCUUCCGGCUCUCGGGGCGGCCUCCCUUCCGCCCACGCUCCAGGGCUUCCCCGGCUCCCGAGCUCCGAGCUUCCACCACAUCGGCCGGCUCAGGACAGACUAUGGAGGAUUCAUCAACAGACCAGGAAGCAACAGCCUGGGCUCCAGAAUUGACCAGUAGUCCGUGCACAGACGAGGAGAGGUCCCAUGAAACUUCGGCGCAGUCUGGGAACCGAGCUCUUUUUGUAACAAGUUGUUUGUCAGGAGGCCCGGUCAUGAAAGCCCUUCCUGACUGGGCUCAAGGAAUACAAAAAGGACAACUUGUUUUUGCCAUUGUCUGUUGUUUUUCAAUAACUAGUUCUCCGAAACAGCACUGGAUGAAUGCCUCAAGGGGCUCACACAACUCGUUCCAGGACUUAGUGACCAUUGUUUCUGUCCCUGUUCAAUAGAGUUCAAAUUUAAUAUUUAAAUUUUGCUCCACAAUGUGCCAUAUUAUCUGUAUCCAACCUGUCAUUGGGCAUUUAGGUUGAUUCCAUGUCUUUACUAUUGUGAAUAAUGCUGCAAUAAACAUUUACGUGCUUGUGUCUU